rnacentral:tRNA from 1 species
GCCUGGCUGGCUCAGUCCUAAGAGCACGUGACUCUUGAUCUCUGGUCGGGAGUUCGAGCCCCAUGUCAGGUG